UACGUAGGUGGCAAGCGUUGUCCGGAUUUAUUGGGUUUAAAGGGUGCGUAGGCGGUUCUAUAAGUCAGUGGUGAAAUCCGGCAGCUCAACUGUCGAUGUGCCAUUGAUACUGCAGAACUUGAGUACAGACGAGGUAGGCGGAAUUGACGGUGUAGCGGUGAAAUGCUUAGAUAUCGAUCAAGAACACCGAUAGCGAAGGCAGCUUACUAGACUGUAACUGACGCUGAUGCACGAAAGUGUGGGGAUCAAACAGG
rnacentral:rRNA from 1 species